GUAGGGGCCAAGCGUUAUCCGGAUUUAUUGGGGCGUAAAGAGCUCGUAGGCGGCUUGGCAAGUCGGUCGUGAAAGUCCGAGGCUCAACCUCGGGAAUGCCGGGUCGAAACUGCCAUGGCUAGGGUUCGGUAGAGGAGAGUGGAAUUCUCGGUGUAGCGGUGAAAUGCGCAGAUAUCGAGAGGAACACCAGUAGCGAAGGCGGCUCUCUGGGCCGAUACCGACGCUGAGGAGCGAAAGCGUGGGGAGCAAACAGGAUUAGAUACCCUGGUAGUCCACGCCGUAAACGGUGAUCACUAGGUGUGGCGGACUCAUUGACGUCUGCUGUGCCGGCGCUAACGCAUUAAGUGAUCCGCCUGGGGAGUACGGCCGCAAGGCUA
rnacentral:rRNA from 1 species